UUAUAAAGGUGGCAAAAUCCCCACUCUCUCCACCACUAGCAUUUCCAUUCACGGUGAGUUCAUCAGGGGUCACAUUACUCUCUGAUGAUGGUAUUGAAAUGAUAGGGCAGGAGAUCGGCAUGAUCCGUUGUCAAGGUCACAGUAUUCUUAAUGUAUAGCAGUGGGAAGUAAGCUUUGAUGCCGAAAUUGUAAGCUUUAGCUUUAGAUGGAAUUUUUUUUCCAAAUCAUACUGUCACAAUUUUUUUACUGGAGUUGUUCACAAUGUGGUCAAUAUUUAAUUAUAGUGCUUAUUAAACUA